GACCAGACUCCUACGGGAGGCAGCAGUGGGGAAUAUUGCACAAUGGGGGAAACCCUGAUGCAGCGACGCCGCGUGAGUGAAGAAGUAUUUCGGUAUGUAAAGCUCUAUCAGCAGGGAAGAAAAUGACGGUACCUGAUUAAGAAGCCCCGGCUAACUACGUGCCAGCAGCCGCGGUAAUACGUAGGGGGCAAGCGUUAUCCGGAUUUACUGGGUGUAAAGGGGGCGCAGACGGCGAUGCAAGCCAGGAGUGAAAGCCCGGGGCCCAACCCCGGGACUGCUCUUGGAACUGCGUGGCUGGAGUGCAGGAGGGGCAGGCGGAAUUCCUGGUGUAGCGGUGAAAUGCGUAGAUAUCAGGAGGAACACCGGUGGCGAAGGCGACUUUCUGGACUGUAACUGGCGUUGAGGCACGAAAGUGUGGGGAGCAAACAGGAUUAGAUACCCUUGUA
rnacentral:rRNA from 1 species